GCUUACGGCCAUACCACCCCUGAGCACGCCCGAUCUUGUCUGAUCUCGGAAGACUAAGCAGGGUCGGGCCUGGUUUAGUACUUGGAUGGGAGACUGCCUGGGAUACCAGGUGCAGUAAGCU
rnacentral:rRNA from 1 species